CCACACCAGUUCCCGUACGAUCACCGAAGUUAAGCAAUGUCGCGCCUGGUCAGUACCAAGAUGGGUGACUGUAUGGGAAUAUUAGGAGU